rnacentral:rRNA from 1 species
AGGCUUAAACAUGCAAGUCGAGCGGGCGUAGCAAUACGUCAGCGGCAGACUGGUGCGUAACGCGUGGGAACGUACCUUUUGGUUCGGAACAACCCAGGGAAACUUGGGCUAAUACCGGAUAAGCCCUUACGGGGAAAGAUUUAUCGCCGAAAGAUCGGCCCGCGUCUGAUUAGCUAGUUGGUGAGGUAAUGGCUCACCAAGGCGACGAUCAGUAGCUGGUCUGAAUGGAUGAUCAGCCUCACUGGGAACGAGACACGGCCCAGACUCCUACGGGAGGCAGCAGUGGG